GGUGCAGGCUGGUUUGUCGCUAUUCCUUACUCUACUAAGGAAGAGAGGAAAGUCCGGGCAACAUAGAGCGCCAUACUUCCUAACGGGAAGGGGUCCUGGGGGAGACGCCAGGGCUACAGAUAGUGCCACAGAAAAAAUACCGUCCCGAUACUGGCAAAUGCCCGUAUGGGGAUAAGGGUGAAAUGGUGGGGUAAGAGCCCACCGCAUGUCAGGUGACUGGCAUGGCAAGGCAAACCUUAUGGGUUGAAAGACCAAAUAGGCUUCGGUCCAAGGGCUGCUCGUCCAAUCCCGGUAUCCGGGAAACCGAAGUGGGUAGGUCGUUAGAUCUUUCCUGUGAAGGAAAGAGCAGAUAAAUGGCAAACGCUUCGAGAGAAGACACAGAACCCGGCUUACAGGCCUGCACAUUUU
rnacentral:RNase_P_RNA from 1 species